rnacentral:rRNA from 1 species
UGAGGAAUAUUGGUCAAUGGCCGGGAGGCUGAACCAGCCAAGUCGCGUGAGGGAUGACGGUCCUAUGGAUUGUAAACCUCUUUUGUCGGGGAGCAAAAAGGCAUCACGUGUGAUGCUCCGAGAGUACCCGAAGAAAAAGCAUCGGCUAACUCCGUGCC